rnacentral:piRNA from 1 species
CCGUCCUGAGGUUGUUGAGCUGU